GAUGAACGCUGGCGGCGUGCCUAAUACAUGCAAGUCGUACGAACAGACGCUUUGCUUGCUCCUCUGACGUUAACGGCGUGCGUGUGACUAACAUGUCCAUCACCUACCUAUAAGACUUGGCUAACUUCGUGAAACCGGUGCUAAUACUGUAUUAUAUCUUCAUCCGCAUGGUUCAAUAGUUCCAGCCGUUUUUGCUGUCCUCUCUACCUGUCUCCUCGCGGCAUUAGUUAGUUGGUAGGGUAACGGCUUCCCAAGGCCACGAUGCGUAGCCGACCUGCGAGGGUGAAGGGCGACAGUGAGAGUGAGACACGGUACAGACUCCUAGGGGAGGCAGCAGUAGGGAAGGGUGGGAAAUGGGCGAAAGACUGACGGAGCAACGCAGGGUGGAUGAAGAAGGGCUGCGGAUCGGAAAACUCUGUUAGUGGGGAAGAACAAAUGUGGAAGGAACGAUGCAUGUCGUGACGGUACCUAAACAGAAAGCAACGGCUAACUACGUG
rnacentral:rRNA from 1 species